rnacentral:rRNA from 1 species
CCCGCACAAGCGGCGGAGCAUGCGGAUUAAUUCGAUGCAACGUGAAGAACCUUACCAAGGCUUGACAUACACCGGUAACGCCCAGAGAUGGGUGCCCCUUUGUGGUCGGUGUACAGGUGGUGCAUGGUUGUCGUCAGCUCGUGUCGUGAGAUGUUGGGUUAAGUCCCGCAACGAGCGCAACCCUCGUCCUAUGUUGCCAGCGGGUCAUGCCGGGGACUCAUGGGAGACUGCCGGGGUCAACUCGGAGGAAGGUGGGAUGAUGUCAAAUCAUCAUGCCCCUUAUGACCUGGGCUACACACGUGCUACAAUGGUUGGUACAACGAGUUGCGAGUCGGUGACGGCGAGCUAAUCUCUUAAAGCCAAUCUCAGUUCGGAUUGUAGGCUGCAACUCGCCUACAUGAAGUCGGAAUCGCUAGUAAUCGCGGAUCAGCACGCCGCGGUCGAAUACGUUCCCGGGCCUU